rnacentral:rRNA from 1 species
AUGCAGAGAUGCUCCUGUGCCUUCGGGAACGCUAAGACAGGUGCUGCAUGGCUGUCGUCAGCUCGUGUUGUGAAAUGUUGGGUUAAGUCCCGCAACGAGCGCAACCCUUAUCCUUAGUUGCCAGCACGUAAUGGUGGGAACUCUAGGGAGACUGCCGGUGAUAAACCGGAGGAAGGUGGGGACGACGUCAAGUCAUCAUGGCCCUUACGAGUAGGGCUACACACGUGCUACAAUGGUACGUACAGAGGGAGGCAAGCUGGCGACAGUGAGCGGAUCUCUUAAAGCGUAUCGUAGUCCGGAUUGGAGUCUGCAACUCGACUCCAUGAAGUCAGAAUCGCUAGUAAUCGC